CACCAUCCCGCUGCACGGCACGAGUGACAGCUGGUACCAGGAGCUCAAGGCCAUCAUCCGGGAGCAGCAGACCCGGCCCAUCUGGACGGCCGAGGACCAGCUGGACAACUCCUCGGAGGACAACCUAGAGCUUCCUCACCGCGACCUGGCCGACAGCUCUGCGGAUCUGAGCUGUGACAGCCGGGUCAACAGUGACUACGAGACAGAUGGCGAGGGCUACACAGACGGCGAGGGUGGGCCCCACACGGACGUGGACGAGGGUCCCCCCGCGCCAGCUCUGGCCCGGUCCUCCGAGCCCGUGCUGGCAGAUGAGCCCCAGAGCCCGCGGGAUCAUAGGAGAGCCUCCGGUCCCCAAGGGGUCCAGGUGGACGACCACCCCCGCCACGGUCAGAGGCGACAGGACAGUGUGCGGUAAGCCCCCGUACUCCAGACUGGAGCCCCUCAGCCCUUUUCCUGGGACUCAGGCUCAGGGGAUGAAGGGACCUAGAAUCAAGCUAUGUCUUCAUGUGCUCCCAGCCUAGUGGGCAAGAUGAAAGCAGAAGGGCCAAUCCCACCCCACGGAGUCAGGGCCCACUUCCUGAGAGGACUGGGAAAGCUUCCGGAAGGACAGGACAUGAGAUGGGGCUUUGAAGGGUGUGUAGGAGUUUGUUAAGGAGGCUUGACCCCUAAACGCGCAGUCCUGCUCGUCUCUGUCCACACCCACUGUGCGUAGCAGAGAGUCAGCCUCAGGUAAGGGUAGUUCAGGCCUCCCCACUGCCCACAGCCUCUCCUCUGUUUCCUGAUCCCCAGGACCUACGGGCGAGAGGCCCUGAAGAAAAAGUUUACACGAGCUCAAGAUACGGAGUCCUCUGAUGAGGACGGCUAUGACUGGGGCCCGGCCACUGACCUGUGACCCCUCCCAGGUGGCCGUGCUGACCCAUAUUCCUUUCUCCACCCGCCCCCCCCGGCUCUUCACCCAGAGCUGGGACUCGAUUUCCCAUUCAGAACCUAGAACCCCGCCUCCUUCUGCC
rnacentral:lncRNA from 1 species